rnacentral:rRNA from 1 species
AAAAGAAUAAGAAGUUCUGGCGGACGUACCUUUUGUAUCAGGGGAGGUCAAAAGUUAACUUAAUUAAGGAUCGAUUUUAACAGAGCCUUGUGGCUUACUUGUAGUUGAAUUUGCAGGUCUAAUAAGUUAUGUGGUAAAAAAUGUGCGGUGGUUAUGGUAUCUAUUUGUUUUUUUGCUGAAGGGUAAGCUUUCAUAAGCUUAAUUAGAAAAAAAAAUUAGGGGAUUAGGCUUUAUAUUAGCCAGAUUGUUAAAUUGUUUUAAAUAACCAAGCUUAAGCUAUAAAAUUAAGAUUUAGAGACUUGGCCUGUGAGUAGAGACGGGCCUAAAUAAUGAGUUUAUUGAACAGAGAGUGAAGUGUAAAAAUAACUCGUGAUUGGUUAGAAUGUUUAGCAAAAACAUUUUCUUUUUUAGCGUAAAAGAUAAGACCUGCCCGGUGAUUUUUAACGGCUGCGGUAUUUUGACUGUGCUAAGGUAGCAUAAUCAUUUGUUGCUUAAUUGGUAACUGGAAUGAAAGGUUAAACUAGCUUAUUUAGUUUGUUGCGCUAGUUGAGAUAUUAAAGUCAAGGUAAGAAUUCUUUGAUUGUGCUAGGGGACGAUAAGACCCUAGAAGCUUGACAAUAAGGGUAUUCGUUAGUUAUGGAGAUAAGUUUGUUUUACUGGGGCGGUAAAGGUGUAUAAUCUAUUAAAGUAUUGAAGGAUCCUUAAAAUAAAGACAGGACGGAAAAGUUACUCUAGGGAUAACAGUGCAAUAUAUUUGGAGAGAUCUUAUCAAUAGGUAUGUUUGCAACCUCGAUGUUGAAUUAAAAUAUCUACGUGAAGCAGAAGGUACGUAAGAGGUUUGUUCAAC